CUGGCGCCCAGCCCCCUGCCGGCGGGUCCACCCGCGGGCUGGCCCUCCCGCACGCACGCUCCGGUUGUCGGGGUCCUCCUCCUAGAAGAAGAACUGAAAACACUCGGAGCUCCACAGCCUUCGGGGCGACCCGACUGGGUUCGCUGGUCCGUCGGAGCACACCAACAGGCCUGCGCCAGGUGCUGGUGGAGGAGCAGACAUUGUGCUCAAGAAAAUGGAAUGAACAUGAGACUCAAAUCCAUGUCCAUUUGUUUUUAUUAUCAAGAGAACAAGAAAGUGUUCUUGAUUUUUAAAAAAUAUGCUUUCUUAACCAUCCAGAUGUAGGGGACAGGGCCAAAUAUAUUAUUUGAUAUCAUUUGGGUGUUCCAAGUCCACAGAUGUGUCUAGUUUGGAAGCUAUUGAUACAAGUUUUCUCUUUAAGAAAAUAAAUCUCAUCUUGAAACUCUUUAA